AUUGAACGCUGGCGGCAGGCUUAACACAUGCAAGUCGAGCGGAGAUGAGGUGCUUGCACCUUAUCUUAGCGGCGGACGGGUGAGUAAUGCUUAGGAAUCUGCCUAUUAGUGGGGGACAACAUUCCGAAAGGAAUGCUAAUACCGCAUACGUCCUACGGGAGAAAGCAGGGGAACUUCGGACCUUGCGCUAAUAGAUGAGCCUAAGUCGGAUUAGCUAGUUGGUGGGGUAAAGGCCUACCAAGGCGACGAUCUGUAGCGGGCCUGAGAGGAUGAUCCGCCACACUGGGACUGAGACACGGCCCAGACUCCUACGGGAGGCAGCAGUGGGGAAUAUUGGACAAUGGGGGGAACCCUGAUCUAGCCAUGCCGCGUGUGUGAAGAAGGCCUUAUGGUUGUAAAGCACUUUAAGCGAGGAGGAGGCUACUGAGACUAAUACUCUUGGAUAGUGGACGUUACUCGCAGAAUAAGCACCGGCUAACUCUGUGCCAGCCGCCGCCGUAACAC
rnacentral:rRNA from 1 species